CAUCAUCUUCCUCUUUCUCCGCUGGUUUUUUUCAUUUCUGAACUCAAAUGGCGGUGGUGGUUGCGGUGUUGGAUAUCGCCGUCAUCUUUUUGACUGGAUCUGGAUCCGCAUCCAUGAUUAACAGUGCAGCUUCUUGUUAUUCGGCAUCUCUUUUUUUAAGUAGAUCUGGAAGUUCUCACUGGACUUGAUUUUGGAAGCAGCAGAUUCUUUGGUCUCAAUCUGGUUUUCUCUUUGGUUGUGCAAGUAUGAGUGGAUUAUGGUUUCUUAGAAGCAAAGUUUGAUUCGAAGGUCUUCAACCUAGUGUGAGUAUGUUUAAGGCUAUAAUCAUGAAAUUGGUCUUUGAUUGUUGGUUUAGAAUGAAGGUAGCCAUGUGGAAUAAGAUAUAUGAUCCGCAAGUUUUCAAUUUCUUGGAACUGGGUAUCCGGAAGGUGAUGAGCUGUACUGUUACUAAGUGUCAGCGGAAAGCUCCUCCAGCAGGUUGUGAAUCUUGUGAUGUUGCAGCUAGGGGUAAUCCAGGAAAUGCAGGGUUCGGGAUAAUUCUUAGGUACCAAUCAUGUUAGGUAGUGGGUACAAUUGCAGGUGGUUCGGGGGUAACCACUAAUUAUGUUGCUGACUUGACUGCUUCUGAUAUAACAACUUUCCUUCUAGAUGCAAAGGUACGUGAUAAAGCUUCUUUAACUAAACAUCUCUAAUCCUACCUGGUGAUUGUUUGAGAAAGGUGUAACAGAUUCUAUCUGGAUCUUUGUCAUGAUAAUGAAAACUGGUUGAUGUUUGGAGUUUCAAGUAUCUUUCUACACAUGCUUCAUGGAUCAAUGUGUUUGUUUGUUGUGCAUGUCCAAUUUCAUAGUUUUUUAUCUAAUAGUUGUCUUGCAGUGUCUAUUAUUGGCGUUCUCGAUGUGUACCAGUAUUUAUGUUCUGGUUCUUACUUUGUGCUAAACAUAUCUAAUUCAUUACUUCAUUGAACAUUUCAUUUU